rnacentral:rRNA from 1 species
UGGGGAAUUUUGGACAAUGGGCGCAAGCCUGAUCCAGCCAUGCCGCGUGCGGGAAGAAGGCCUUCGGGUUGUAAACCGCUUUUGUCAGGGAAGAAAUCUUCUGAGUUAAUACCUCGGGAGGAUGACGGUACCUGAAGAAUAAGCACCGGCUAACUACGUGCCAGCAGCCGCGGUAAUACGUAGGGUGCAAGCGUUAAUCGGAAUACUGGGCGUAAAGCGUGCGCAGGCGGUUUUGUAAGACAGAGGUGAAAUCCCCGGGCUCAACCUGGGAACUGCCUUUGUGACUGCAAGGCUUGAGUGCGACAGAGGGGGGAUGGAAUUCCGCGUGUAGCAGCGAAAUGCGUAGAUAUGCGGAGGAACACCGAUGGCGAAGGCAAUCCCCUGGGCCUGCACUGACGCUCAUGCACGAAAGCGUGGGGAGCAAACAGGAUUAGAUACCCUGGUAGUCCACGCCCUAAACGAUGUCAACUGGUUGUUGGGAAGGUUCCUUCUCAGUAACGUAGCUAACGCGUGAAGUUGACCGCCUGGGGAGUACGGCCGCAAGGUUG